UGGGGAAUUUUGGACAAUGGGGGAAACCCUGAUCCAGCCAUCCCGCGUGUGCGAUGAAGGCCUUCGGGUUGUAAAGCACUUUUGGCAGGAAAGAAACGUCAUGGGUUAAUACCCCGCGAAACUGACGGUACCUGCAGAAUAAGCACCGGCUAACUACGUGCCAGCAGCCGCGGUAAUACGUAGGGUGCAAGCGUUAAUCGGAAUUACUGGGCGUAAAGCGUGCGCAGGCGGUUCGGAAAGAAAGAUGUGAAAUCCCAGAGCUCAACUUUGGAACUGCAUUUUUAACUACCGGGCUAGAGUGUGUCAGAGGGAGGUGGAAUUCCGCGUGUAGCAGUGAAAUGCGUAGAUAUGCGGAGGAACACCGAUGGCGAAGGCAGCCUCCUGGGAUCACACUGACGCUCAUGAACGAAAGCGUGGGGAGCAAACAGG
rnacentral:rRNA from 1 species